CACGCAGGCGGUUUCGCAAGUUUGGAGUGACAGUGCUCGGCUUAACUGAGCAAGGACUCUAAAAACUGCGGGACUUGAGGGCCAGAGAGGGACAUAGAAUUCCGGGUGGAGUGGUGAAAUGCGUAGAUAUCCGGAGGAAUACCAAAGGCGAAGGCAGUGUCCUGGAUGGCACCUGACGCUCAGGUGCGAGAGCCAGGGGAGCGAACAGGAUUAGAUACCCUGGUAGUCCUGGCUGUAAACGAUGACCACCAGGUGUGCGGAGUAUCGACUCUCUGCGCGCCGCCGUUAACGCAGUAAGUGGUCCGCCUGGGGAGUACGGUCGCAAGAUUAAA
rnacentral:rRNA from 1 species